GUGCCUCGGGGCUGUUCUCCCUGCCUCUCCGGGAUAGGGAGGAGUCUGCACGUGCUUCCUCCGACUGUUUAGCUGACGGGGAACUCUAGUGAAGGCGUUAAAAUAAAGCAGGAGCUCCCCAGAAUAAAAGAGUGCAGCCCAAGUCAGUCCGGUGAUGCCUUCCUGUUUUAAUCAUCCCCAAGAAUCAUUCCUGCCCGACCGUGGAACCCUAGAAUUGUAGUCUCCCUCGUGGAUCACAAAGAAGGCAGUGUGCAGGGGGCACUUGGAGUAGCCAAGUCUUGUAAAGUUUCUAAAGAGUGAGGAGGACUAGAGGACAGAAGGGUCUGAUGGGAGAGGGAAAUUGCCACGGAACCCGUAUCAUUUAAAGAAUGCUAGGUUUUUAAUCUGUUGACUUCCCAGGGGAAAAGAAAGCCUAUCUAUUGAGGCCCCUCUGGCUUGAAGAAUCCUGGGGAAGUUCUUACUGUAAAGUAAAUAAUCUUAAGGUUCAUCAAUAUUUUCAGGGGAGACUGUACUAUCUGAUUUCAGGACCCUGUGAUUUAAAACCGGGACUAUGCUAUUUGUACCUGAUCCUGUAAAUUUAAUGCCUUUUGGGCAUGAAAACACGUGGCUUGCCUGGAUUUCUAAGAAAGUACUAAACAAUCUGGCAUAUUGUGGAUGCUUCAGAGCAAAACUUUUAAAUUCAAAAUAGGAAACGUGCUUUGGAUUUUCUUUGGCUAUUUCCUGGAAGAGAGCUGAAACUUCAAGGUUUCUCACACCAAAAGAUGCCUCUAGAAUUCUGGCAAAUUCUUCCUCUGUUAUAUAGCCAUCCUCAUCAAUGUCAAAAAGCUUAAAAGCCAACUUUACAAGUUCUUCUGGGUUGGCUGGGUUGCAUAGGACUGAGAGCCCAAUAACAUAUUCUCUAAAGUCUAUAGUACCAUCAUGGUUCCUGUCAAAGAGUCCAAAUAGUUGCUUCAGGGAAUCUGAAACUGGAAGCAUUAAAUAACUAGCAAACUCUUCGAUUCCAAUGGUGCCUCCUUUUGAGCUAGAUGCAAUCAACGUAUAUUCAAUCAAAUGUUUUCUGAUAGUAUCCCAAUCCAAUUGCAUCUUCUGGGUAAUUUUUGUAAAUGCCACCAAGCCAGUUUCCAUAGGCAAGGUCAGCUUUCCUGCUGAAAUCAUCAGUCUACAAUCUUCAAAGGUAUGAUCUGUGACUGGCAAUUGUAGGGCAUUGGCCAUGACAUUCCGUACCCUUCUGGCAAAAAGGGAAGGAUCUUUUUUCUCUUCAUUGUCAGGGACGUAAACAGGCAUGAACUCCAAUUCCAUCUUUGUGAACAGACGUGUGAGGGUUAGCAGUGCCAGUGUGGGAGCAGAAUAGCCCUGCCACGUCCAGGUCACCGUGUCCACUUCAUUGGGGUACUGAAGCAAUACUGGCUGCACUGGGACUCCAGGAAGGAAGGCUCCUGGUUUGAAAGUAAUCAGACACGUGCGGUUGGUGCAGGUGGCUUCAGGGAAAAUCAGGAUCUGAGGCCAUUCCCCUGAGGAAGUGGCUCGUUUUUUAAUUUCAUUAAUGAUGUUCUUCCUGGAAUCUGGGUCCGAGCAGGACACGAGCAAGGGCUGGCCAAUCAGCACUAUCCUGCCAAACAACGGGAUGCUGGCGGUCUCCAUCCGCAACACAAUGGAUGGCAGGCCGGUGAAGACCCAGACAAAGUUAUCAAAGAAGGAGGAAUGCGGAGCGACCACAAAGAUGGGCGCCUCGCUGGGGGUGGCGCGCUCCCCCUUCACCUUUACCAGGAAGCCCAAAAUGAAGAAAAGGGAGCGCGACAUCACCAGCACCAGAGGGUUGGUGAGCCGCCGCCUCCAUCUCGGUAAGGGCUGGCUCUGUUUUUUAGGGUAGAAGGCGGUGACCGCAAGGGUCAAUGGCCACGCAAUAAUGGUCAUCAGGAGCAGGAGAAGGAUGCGCAGAGGCAGUAACAGCACACUACCCAGACCGAUGGAGACCCAAUGCCACCAGCUGUAGUUCCUCUUCUUCAAGAAGGGGUUCUCCACGGGAGGAGGAUACAUGGAGUGCUCGCGAAAGGCCUGCAGGAGUUGGAACCGCAGGUUCACUGAUGACUGGCUCCGCUCCACACUGAUCAGGCGAGGACUGCUCUUCAUGGCUUAGCCAGGAGUGGCCAAGUCGGGAGGCUCAGGGACUCAAAACACCAUGGGGCAACCAGCCUGACCUUAGCCCUUCCAACCCGCUCUGGAACCUUCUCUACAUCCCUCUACACUAUGCAAGCCCGACCUGCUCACCUGCAUCUGCGCAGGCGCAGACCACUCUGGUGACCCCGCCCCCGUUGUCAGAGGGUCCGCCCCCACCGUUGAGAGACCGCCCCCUCUGUAGAGAGACUUCCCUUUCUGCAAAAAGAUGGCUUCCUCGGAACAUAAAAUAUUUACUCCAUCUGAAACAGGGGCUCCUAACUUUGUCGUGUCAGGAACACCUUUUUGGCAGUCUGCCGAAGCCCCUUUAUCCCUUAAAGUCACACGCAAUAUGUUACGCCAGUCCCAAACCCAUUGAUAUGGAUGUUACUCUCCAAACUAAGAGCAGAGAAGGCAAGGCUGCUAGCUAUAGGUUCUCUUUAACCUCUCAGUUGCUUGGGGGCACUUCUGGAUUCCAGCUUCCAGAGGGAUAAAAGAAAGAGGCUAUCCCACUUCAGAUUACUGAUGGAAAAGAUUCCCGGAAGACAUGAGAAGCAGCCUCCACCAUGUUCCUUUCCUAGCUUUUUACAUCAGACUUUGGGAAAUUUCUCCUUGGAUGAGAUCCUAAUGGGCCAGCUCCUUCACUUUGUUUAUCUGGCAUAUGUAUUUUCCUAGAUAUAGACCUUCUCUGAUUUCCA